GAUUUAUAAAGAAGAGGCGAGAGAAUAGGCUCGAUGACCCUCUGGCAACCAUCCCUGCCAAGGAGAAAGGUGCCAAGUCCUACCCUCAGCGGGAACUAUAAAUU
rfam:Algoriphagus sp. A40 NODE_14_length_151242_cov_9.20257_ID_27, whole genome shotgun sequence.